GACGAACGCUGGCGGCGUGCUUAACACAUGCAAGUCGAACGGAAAGGCCCUGCUUGCAGGGUACUCGAGUGGCGAACGGGUGAGUAACACGUGGGUGAUCUGCCCUGCACUUCGGGAUAAGCCUGGGAAACUGGGUCUAAUACCGGAUAGGAGCCAUUUUUAGUGUGAUGGUUGGAAAGUUUUUUCGGUGUAGGAUGAGCUCGCGGCCUAUCAGCUUGUUGGUGGGGUAAUGGCCUACCAAGGCGGCGACGGGUACCCGGCCUGAGAGGGUGGACGGCCACAUUGGGACUGAGAUACGGCCCAGACUCCUACGGGAGGCAGCAGUGGGGAAUAUUGCACAAUGGGCGCAAGCCUGAUGCAGCGACGCCGCGUGGGGGAUGACGGCCUUCGGGUUGUAAACUCCUUUCGCUAGGGACGAAGCUUUUUGUGACGGUACCUAGAUAAGAAGCACCGGCUAACUACGUG
rnacentral:rRNA from 1 species